GCUGCCGGAAGAGAACGGAGCGGCAAGAACAGUAAAACAACGUUAGAUUACGAACGUGGUCUCUACGGGCUGUAAAAAGCCCAAAUCCUUCCCCAUCAUUUGAAACACCCUGGGUUAAGCUAGUUUCAGAGCACAGGAGCAUCCGGAGAAUAUAGACUGUGAGCUGGAACCUUGGGUGCAGCUGGGCCCUGGGCUGCGCAGCCAAGGAGAGAGGAAAGGAAUUAGUUUGCUCCCUGAUGCAGGAGCUGCUUGGGAAUUAUUCUGACCCUUGUUAUAAAUCAGGUGCUUAUCUUCUAUUUCUGCACAAGAAACAUGAAAAUCAAGAAAAGCAGAUGUACUAUCAACCUGGAAAUGAGGUUGGAAUAUUCCAUAAGGAAAUCAAAGUCAUUUUCCUACCCUCUUCUGUCUCUGUAAGAAAUGCUCUGCCUAAGUCCUUCUCUGUCUGCACUGGCAAUUCCUCUUCUGUUUCUUUAGGUGACUCCAGGCUGAGAUCAUGUUUUUUCUCUCAACUUCAUGCGAGCCUCCCUUUCAAACCCUUCCAAGAGCAUUUUAGAACCUGUUUGCCCUGAAACCCUGAAAUCAGAGAACACCGAGGGAUUAGGUUUAAACUUGUUAAACUGAAUUAACACUCCUGCCACAUGAUUCUGGCCUGUGCCAGUCCUUUUAAUCUUGUUCAGAGUUUAGGAUAAUUUGUUUAGUAGGGCUGAUCAGCUGGAGGUUAAUUCAAUUGGACUUUGGUUAUUUAUUCAUGCCCGGAUUUGCUAAGUGUCACAGCAGAUACACGAGGUCUCUGUUACAGUUAUGAGAUGGCUUCAUUAGUGUGACGGAGAGUCCAUCUGGAUGACUUCCUUUCCUCAGUGCAAUAACUGGCUGUCAGGGCUCUCUCCAGUGGAAAAAACUCCUUAUAUAACAUCUCCCUUUCAUUUGUGUCACAAGUGUAUUGAUUACAACUUAAAAUGCACUCCUCUGUUCCGAUUGCUGGGAUUGCCAAUAAACUUUUUCAGGGAUCUCAA